GAAUGUCUACUGCACACAAGACUUAAAGGUGCAAGCCCUAGAGGAGCCCUAGCCUUCAACUACACCGUAGCCCUGGAACAGAGCCCUCUGCCCAAGAUGGGAACAUAAGGAUGGAAGGUGCUGGUCCCAUUUGCUCAACGUAGAGAGCCCCCACCUGGGGCUUGUUCUGUGAGCACCUACUGCGUGCCUGGGGAACCAGAAGCACUUGCAUCCUUGCUGUAUGACAUCAGAACUAUUCUCCGCAUUUGUAGAGGAGAAAACCGAAGUUCAGGGAGAAAGGCAGGAGCCUAAUGCUCAUUUCCUAAACAAACACAGAGUGCCUACUAAGCUCUGCUCUCCCUGAUUCACCCCCAUCUACUCCCUCCUUUGAAUUCCUUGGAGCACUCACCCGCCUGGCUUUGCAUUCAAAUCUCCUCGGUUCCUCCUUACCUACUGAUUCCUCACACACUCCCUGAUUCUACAGGGAGAAUUCCUGGACACAAAACAGAAAACGUUCAGAGGCAGCAUCAACAUGAUCAGGCUUGGGUCAGGCAGGGCUCUGGUUCAGGGUCACCCCUGGCCGCAUCCAGGAGACACUCCCUCCACAGGGGUAGAGAGUGGCCGCAUCCAGAGAAACAGUGACUGUGGGUUCCUGGGGUAUCCCCCUCAAGAACCACAAUGCUUCUUUUUCAAAAGCAUCCAGAAAAGCGUCCUCUUUACAGUUAAUUGUUUUUAACUAGUCACAGAUCCUUUAGCCAGAGGAAUCACACUGUGGACCAGCUAAGUCCUUUCUUCUUGAACCACUCACCAGCAAAGUACCAUAUAUAAUAUAUGGUUUUGUCCUGAAGGACCAGGGCCUGCCCUGGAGCUGAGAUUGGAGUCAGCAUCUUUUUAGGCACCAGGGAAUGUAGGGGAGAGGUGAUGACUCUUAAUGCUAGAAACAAUGAGGAAAUGAAAUAAAUGCUCCCUAUACAUCUAUCUAUCUUUUCUCCCCGCCACGUGGGUCCAUUUCUGGCAAAUAGUAAAUACUGAAACAGUGUCGUUUUCAUUGUGAUUCAUUUGUUGUUCUGUGUCCUACAGGGCAUGUCUCUGGUAAGCCCUGGUGAAGGGCAGGCUCAGGAGGUACCAACCCUCCCGUGUCUGUAAGUGUCCUAGACUCAAUUAUUGGGGUUUGGGGAGCCUGUUGGGGAUGUUGAAGAAAGUCAGCUGCCCUUCCCUAUGCCAAAUAUGGCCUUUGCCACCAUUAAGUUGAAAUAAGAAGUUCUAGCCACAAAGGCUCCAGAACUAAACCAAACCAUUGACAAGGAGGAGAAGAUUCUGGUUGCUGUACCACUUCUGUUCCAGCUGCUGCAUCUCCCCAUCCCUUACAGGAGCUUGAGAUUUCUUAGUAGACCUUUUGGUCCAGUAAGAGGUCCUUCUGUUCUCCCCCUUCUGUUUUUCCCAGUGACCAGCUCCCUAUCUCAUCUACCUCAAGGCCUCUUCUGUCCAGUGUCAAUGGUGCAGCUGCUGGGGCCUCUGCAAGUGAAAGGCCUUCUUCCUUCAUCCAUUUCUGCAGCUAUGUGGGGGAGUGAUUCCCAGUCCUGUGAAUGGGGGAGAAGAGAUGGUGAGGAAUUCCCACUUCACACUUCCCUUGUGUGUUGUUGUUGUUAUUGUUGUAGUUUCCAAAUACGUUCAGGAAAAAAUAAUACAUUUGGCAUCUUGAGGAUUAGUUUGUGUGGUUUUAGUGCCAUUUUGGCAAAAAUACUUCAUGAAGUUUACAUAAAAGAUUCAUGCUGCAACUCAGGGCAGCCAGGGCUAUGGCUGAGUCCUGGAUUUGAUAGAGGGAGCCUUCUCUGAAGGGAAUAAUCCUGUCUGAAAUAGGAUCAAGAGAUGUUCACAAGGAAGGAGAUGCUCCAGCUGGGACCCCAAGGAUAAAAAGGAAUGUUAAAGUUGGCAAGCUACUAAUGGAUAGUCCCAGAGAGAAGGCAGCAUCUCUUAAUGAGUAGCUGAUUUAGGAUUUGAAUCAGGACUUUUUGCCAAG
rnacentral:lncRNA from 10 species